CCAUCCCAUCAGGGUUCCUUUCUAUUGAACUUGGCCUGGUUUGCCUCAUCUUGGUUUAUAUGUGGAAAUGAAAGGGGUGUGGCAGCUUCAUCUCUGGAUUCCCCAACUAGAGCCAUUCUAAGGGCAGGAAAAGACUGAACCUUUAUCAUUUUAUCUUUUGUUUUCUUUUUUUUCCUCAUGGAAAACAUGCUUUUAUCCCUGCCUCCAGGGGAAGUCUAUUGCUUAUCUCAAUUUCUCUCUUUCCUAAUGGAAUUUCACCCCUUGCCCUACAGGUGGAUUAUUGCUCUACCUCUCUCCAUUUGCUGUACCUGUGAUAGUAUGAUCUGUCCCUUCCCCCAGGGUAGCCUCUCUCUGGGGAAUAUCUGGGGAUUACUCCACGCAGCUCUAUCUCCCUACUGAGUUAUUUAUUCUUUAUCAUAGAUGCAGUUUGUUUUCUGUGUGGAGUGAUAUGGAAAGAAUGUUUUUAUUCAAACUGUAAAUCUAUGGAAGAUCAGCAAGACAGAUUGAAGGACAGAAUGAAAUGUUGUUAAUUCCUCACUAGAAAAACCUUUGUCUGAACUACCUUUAGCAUUUUUUUGUCCUGUAGGGACAAAAUCUGAUCAAUCCCCACAAGUUCACUCAGUCAUGUGGAUGUAUCUUCUCUACAUCCUGUUUUACACAGCUUUGACUACUGCUUUCCAAACUGUGGUUUUAACUUUAGUGGUCCUGUCUGUAAGGACAUACGUGGUCUCUUGGUGUUGUCAUUUUUUGACUUUCCAGCUCCUGGAAAGCCCAUCAAUGGACACUUCUACUUUAUAAGCAAUGGCUGCAGUUACCACAAAGUCUUUCUUGUAUCGCUAAUAGCUGCCCACAAAUCAAUCUCUGUGUUAAAACGUGGUCUACAGCAUUAAACCAGGAAUUGUUAAUAAUGCCCAAAGAGGCUUCUGCCUGAGGGUAGAAGUGCUUCCAUCUGGUUUCUGGAUUUUAAAUCCUUGUGUAGAUGCUGAAAUAGCUUUAUAAGCAUUGAAUUUUUACUGGGAAUUCCUGCGCAUGGAGAUUUUUGCCUGCCUGCCUUUUAUCUAAUGUAGACUGUUCUGCCUGUCUUACAAUGCUUACAGUACUGUUUUAAGGACAUUACCUUUAGGCAUCUAUUAAUGGAAAGGUUUGUUCUUAAGAAAUAAAGAAAGUUUAUUAGUAGGUAACAACUGCUUACAAGUUGUCGAACCCUGAUAGUGGUUCAGAUGCUUUGAACAGAUUCUCAGACAUGCAGUUGCUUUGUUUUAAUAUUUGACUAGAAAUUUUAAUCCUGUCAAUACAGACUUCCUACUGUUUUCAUUUUACCUUGACUAAUUUUGGUCUGUUAUGUUAUUCCAUAAGUAUACUCAUAUUUUUUUUCUGAAACUGAGGCUUCUAGUCCCUUCAUACUGUCCUCAACUGCAGAAGUGAAUUGCUCUAUCCUGUGAUACAGGGGACUGAGGAAAGACAACUCUGAUGUUUCAGUCUAAAGCUUUGCAAUUAACACCCAGUAUGACGCUUUGGAGAUCCUUGUUCUUGCCCAGUCCUCUCCGUGCCACCUUAGGGUUUUAGAUAGGUCAUAGAAUCUCUCUGUACCUCAGUUCCCAUUUGUAAAAUGGCAAUGCCGCUCAAGUGACUGUAUGGAGAGAGGUGUGAGACUGUUCAUCGGAAAGCAUUACUAGCACAGAUUUGCAAGAGAGGUAAGACUGAUGUGGUGAGGCUGGUAAUAAGCACAGGAAAGACUGGCAGCAAGCUCCUAAAGAGGCAGGGAGGAUCAGAAACCAGGAUUCAUGCUGGUGAGGGUGGCAGGAAGGAAUUCCCUCCAUUCGCGUGUCUGUUCUUAGACCACAGCGGAUGGCACUUCAGUCCUGCUUCACCCAUUCAUUACAAAGCCAGGUGCUGCUCUUCACCUUCCAUGGCUUCCUUAAUGGAGAGAUACCUGAUAAACCAUCAGAAGUUAAUGAUCAAAAAGCUUAUCAGGGUCUUUUCAUCUAUAAAUUUAUAAGACAAAAGAGAAAUAAUAAAGCCAUUGGAUAAUUAGUAACUAGCCAGGGCCCGCCCGGUGCCACUGGGCUCAAACUACCCCAAGACCUGUACGCAGACUCAGGAAGAUGAGAAGGAGACAAGAAUGAGAGGAAGAAAAAGAGGGGAAGGGAGAGAGAGAAUUAGCCAAGAAGAAAACAAAAUGGGAGGAAUAGCAGCAGAGACAAAGGUGAAGAGAGAAGGGAAACACGUAAAAAGAAUGGUAAAGAGGUAAAGAGAACAGAGGAAAUGAAAAGAUGUGACACAGCUGGAAGUGGGGAAGAGAUGAGACAUGUACUGGGCCAGAAAGAAGAUGGAAAAUUUGGCAAUGUUUUCCCCACCCAGAUGGCAUCCAAGUACCAGCUCACCUCCCUACAGUGAGUUCAAAAAGGCUCAGAUGGAUACAGAAGACUUUGUGUGGCUAAAAAGAAGGAACAAUUUGGAGUCCAUGUAAAAACGUUUAAUGUAGACACACCAACAUUACUGGCUGGUAACACUAAUUGUCAGUUGUAAUUACAGUUUCCAGCCAUGACAUAGAGUUUCUGCAUGGUAUGUCCUUAUAAUUCAAGGACUUUGCAAACAGAGAACAGAUUGUGGGGCUCCUGCAAUAUGUGACAGAGGAGAUUCUGUCAUACUCUGUUACUUAUUUCUGCCUGUCUUUGACAUGCUGGGUUUUUUUUACCUAAACUAAGAUGGAAAAUAUUACCAUUGGUCUCGUUCAAAAGAUUGCCAAAUCUAUGUUCUGUAAUUAUAUAUAAUAUACCUGUUGAAUGCUUGAGGGGGUGUGGACACAGACCAUUAAGUUUAGACAAAGAACAGUGAUAUUUGCUAAUGGAAACUGUAAAGAGAAGAAAACAUAGCAACAAAUGAUCUGUCUAUAUUGUGUGGUUUCAAGGAUUCCCUAUGUUCCCAGAAGUCCUGGUGCUGUUGCUUCUGAUUGCCUUGAAGACCUUCAGCUGUGGAGGCUUUUAGAACAGCCUGUCUUGAAACCAGUGAACUUUGAAGUCUAUAAAACCAGAAACGAACAUCUGUUUGUAUGUCAGGACCUCACUGAAUGCUACAACUGGAUGCCAUGUGGAGAAUCCUUAGCUGAAUAUGGAAGCCUUUCAAAUACUGAGGAGGAGGUAAAUGUUCUCUAUCGCUUUAUCCUGAUGGGCUUUUUGGUCUAUUAGAAUUGUCCAUUUUAAACUGGAGGAGCCUGGACAAUUAACCAAACAAGCAAACUGCCACACUUCCAUCUUUACAUUCACUGUAACCUGCCAGCCCAUGCUAGUGAAUGGUUCAGCACUCCAUUAAGUAUUUCAGAUUCCUCAGUGCAGGAAAACCAGUGAGCUUUUCAGUGUUUCUUAAAUGUUAUAAAUUGCUAGUGGUCAGACUGAAGGAGGAUGCUGUCGUGAAUUAGCCAGCAUCCCUAUUUUAUACUCUGGCACUAAGGAUUUCAAUAUCAUAUUUCUCAGAUUAUUACAAGUGCUAUGAUAUGCAGUUGUGAGUAAAUAAGAAUAGCAGAGGCCAAGGGUGGAAGCUGCAAAGUUUUAACAAGAUAGACUAUAGUUCUAGUAGUGGAGCAAGAGCUAAACUGUAGAGUGCCAUAAUCCAGACAACGUUCUCCUGUAACUGAAUUGUACUCAGGGAUUUUGCCUUGAGGAUGACUAUUAGAAAGAAGAGGUUUUGCUUUUGCUAUACCCAUUUUCACCUAUUACCAGUGCUCAGUAUAUGUUGAUUUCCUUAAUUGCAACAAUUUGCUUGGCCAUGACUUGAUUCUCAAGUUAUCACUAAUGUGAUAACUGUGAUUGCAAUAGGGGAAAUGUUUGAAGACACUGAGUGAUACCUGCUUGUUUUCCCCACGUUUGCAGUAUCUGGUUUUGUGUUUUUUCACCCUGCAAAACUACUUGGUUUUCCUUAGGUGUAAUUAACAUGGUGGUUGAGGCCCCUCAAAUUCAGUGCUUCAUUGACAAGACUUAAGCAGCUUUACAACACUAUAAACUGGUCAGCUUAAUAGCAAGCUCACUAACAAAGUUACAUUAACAAAACAGUUUGGAUGCAGAUUGGAGAAAUAUAUCAAUCAGUAAUCACAAGAAGUCUGAUUUCAUUUUUAUUUUAAUGGCAAGUUUAAUAAAGAUUAUUUAAACAUUUUCAACUACUUUGCAUUCUCCUGCACACACUUAAAUACAACUUCUAUGCAUUGUGUUUUUAAAAUUGUUUUCUUCUCCUGAGGCAGCAGACUGGUAACACUGUGUGACAGCUGUCAUAUAAAACUGGGUUCCUGGCAUUCCCAAUAUCGUUACAGGGUUCAUCUAAUGGAAUUCUAUUUUAUUGGUAAAUAAUAGUCUGCCUUGAUUAACUUCCAAUGUAAUCCCUUCUCCCUACAUGUAAUAAAGUAGCUGAAUUACUAAUCAAGUGGAUUACUUACACUGAGAACAGCUGCAUGAAAGUAUAAAUGGGUAUCUAAUAGGAACAUUAUUCUUAUUUUAGACUUACUGGUUUGUAUUGUGCUUAUUACACUAGGGCAAAACCAAAGUAAUGGACAGCAGAGUCCUGUAAACAUAAUAGAAGCCCUGACUUCUUGUAUCAACACCAUUUUUACCUUUUGAUGUUUCAAUUUACUGAAUUAUAUCCAUUAAGUGUACACAAUGAAAAAACAGCAAUUUGCUGGGAAAAGCCAGUGUAAUAUGGCUUCAAGGAGCAUACAGAGAAGGGAAAAAGCCUAAAUAUAUUUAUGAUGAAAGUGCUAGCAGAGGGAGCCUGUAUAGAUCCCUGAAUACGGUGGCAAAAUUGCCUUUGGCAAAAGAAACACAGAAAUAUGGUUCUUCUAAUAAUUCUUUACCAUUUUACUGUUCUUCCUGCUGAGACUGCUAAAUGCUUUAUUGGCCUGAAGGACAUUAACAUCUUCCCCUCCUUGAAAUGUGGGAGCUAUUAUGGUAAUGUUCACCCUUAUUUCUGUCAUUGGGGCAAAGAAAGCUACACAAGUCCCAAAACUGAUUAUUAUUUGUGCAUUGGGAACUUAGUCCCAAAUGGCACACAGGAGUGUGAAAAAUCUGAGAUAAUUGUCGUUUACAUGUUGUUUUCACAGGGUUGGAUUUCAGCUAUUUGUGCAACCCCCUGAGUCUCUCAGUGGGAAAGGUCUCACUUGAAUACAUGGGUUUAAUGUUUCAAAUAUAUACUCAUUUACGUUUUAAUUUGGUAGGUUUUGCUGUAAAUGUGUGAUUAGAAUUGAAAAUGCGAUUUUACAGAGAAGGAAGCUGUUUUUUUCAUUGGUGCCUCCUUCCAUAUUUUAGUAGUACAAUCAGAAGCAGAAUCACCACAACUUUCAGAGCCAAGAAGGGGGCAAGGCUACCUUUUUACUGAGACACUGGAGUAACUGCCCAAGUUUCUCCUUACCACUGUUUGCAGGACGCAGUUGCAUCCAGAAGCAGCACAUCUCCAAAGACAACAUUUGUUAAACUUUGGGAGUCUCAGUGAGACUGAGAUGUAACAACCAUGAAGAACUGGCCUGGCUGCAGAGCUACAAAGCAUGGUGUGAUAAUGCCAUAGGGCACAAUGGGUUUAAAUUACAAGCUCUCUCCCCACAUUCAUUUUCCUGCAUGGGAAAAAAAGAUGCCUGCAUGCAUCUUCCCAGUCAUCCAUCUGUUCCCCCUUCACUUACUCACUGUUUCUACCAUCAGGGUGAGGAUGAGACUGGAGAGCAGGAACAACUCUGGAGUUCAGUUAGUGAAGGAGUUUCCCACUAGGUGGUAGUGAAGAGAAUCAUGUCACACGUACUGGUCAGUGCACGUUUCAAGUCUUUUUAUGAAGGGGAAUCCCACAAGGACAUUACAAGCAGAAUAGCCUAGUGUAGCUCUCAGCUAUACUGCCAAAACUGCAUCUUUUGGUCUGGUUUAUUUUGCCUUCCCUUUCUGCUCAUUUCCAUGCUAUUUGUUCCUCCCAAAACCAAGCAGUGUUGACAGCUAUAUCUGUCAUGUCCUUUCCUGAAAGAUGAACUGUCUACAUGAAGCUACUCUGGUUCUCUUUCCACCUCCAGCAUAGCAGAAUCAAGACAUGUUAGCUAAAUGUCACCUAAUGACAUUUAAGCAAUUUGGAGGCGAGGACUCUUUGUAACCAGUACCUUAAUCUGAUUUUUCUCCACCACACCCCUGUGAACUUACUCUUAAGAAGAGUACUCUUCCGAACAGAAGAAAAAAGAAAUUUUGUUUGUUGCUAGUUUUGAAAUACCCUGACAGGUCCAAGUGAUGCAUCUGUCUACAUCGAAUGUUCCAGACAGAACAGGUAUUGUGGAAGGACUUUGUAAUGUCAGAGUAAACUAUCACUGAAAUUCAGAGUAAAGCUUUCUUGUAGGUCCAAAGAAAUACUGUACAAAAGCUAUGCUGAGAAAAUUAUCUGGGAGUUCAAGUCAUGCUCCAAUCUGCAGUAAGAGCAGGUGCUGGGUCUGCAAGAAGGAAUAAAUUUCUCCUGUGAAUUCAUCCCACCAUUAUCCUGUAACGAUAGAGCAAGCUUGCAGUAUCAUUUAGUAGUCCAGUCAUAGAGCCUGAGAUGAUGAAAAAAAAUACACUUUAAUUGUUCAUCAACUAUAAAUCAUUUGUGCUGAAUUAAUGUGCUGGAAAUCUUGCAAGACUGAAAAAUGAGAAUCUGUUUCAAUAUGGACAUGAAGCAGGGAUAUAAUUUCAUAGAUAAAUAUCAGUUUUACAUCCUAAUCUCAGGAAAAAAAAUAAGAAAGGCUCUGUAGUAUCAAGACAAGGCUGAAGCACUGAUUUAUCUUUCCCUGCAUCAAUUUAAAAGGAUGGAGAAGUUCUUUUUAGCUCUUGCAUUUGCUCUGUCAGAGUCAGUGAAAAGGGUAGGAUGAACAGGCAUCCCAGAGACACUAGGGAUGCACCACAGUGGAGAUUCCACAUUAUUUGUCCAUUUUCUAAUUGUUACUGUAGAUUUUCCUGCUACGUUGAUAGAGAAUAAAGGCAGGGAACUUCUUCAUUUAUGCAAGUGCUACACAGAGCCUGAGCACUUUUUUAACAGGAGAUGUGUGUACAUGGAAACACCAGAAUUCCCACCAAAACCCAAAUGCCUAGGCUGCGUACCCACAGCUCAGGAUUCUGCACGACUCACUCCUCUCUCCUUGUAUCACACCCACCAAAGCUUCCUAUGUCUACUGAGACAGGCACAAGUGCUGCCAAUGGGGUGGAAGCUGAAAGAUGAAAAAGCAAACAGGGGAGUUCAAAUAGGGGAGGAAGUUUCUCAAAGUAGCCCAACCUGAGCUGGAUGAGAGGACAUGUUAGCAUUCCUCACCAUCAACUCCUUCUAGCACACCUAGCUGCCAGACUGCAGCAGGGAUCCCAGAAAGCUACUCGGUCAUGGUACUUUGAGUAUUGCUGCCUUAUAGUUGAUAAAUCUUAUUCUCAAGCAGAUUUCUGUAAGUGGGUGAAGAGUUGAUAGUGUCAGGAGCUCUAAGGUCAUUCCUGUCCACAAGGCCAGAGGGCUGUGAAAAUCACAGAGGGUUUGAAUGCUGAGGUGACAACAACCUACAUCGCCUGUUCUCAACGCCUGAAGAUACAGGCAUACAGGGGGAGAAGCCUUCCAAGUCCAGCACCAUCUUACCAACAGCGCUGCUUAGCUGAAGCACAAGCAUCCCAGGCAUUCCUUCCACCAAGACCAAGUAAGUCUGUGUCACAUGUGCAGCAUCUUCCUUUGGCAGCGCCCCAGAACUUCAGGUGGCUGUGACAUGGUGCAGUUUCCCCUCUAUUGAUGAAGGGCCUGAGCACAGAUGAAGGGAGUGCCUAAGAUUACACAGGCAGCUGGUAACAGAACUGAAAAGAAACGAGAUGUUCCUUACUUUUAAUCCUGUGUCAUGACUACUCACCAGCCUAAGGUUUUAUCCAUUUAAAAGCAUAAACAAGAUGGACAAAAUGGAAAUAAUUUAUUCAAUUAACUAAUAGCAAUAAACUCCAGUGUGCUCCAAAUGCCAUUUUAGAGGCAUGUGGCAUCUCUGUAGAUGCAAUAAGAAUGUCCCAUUAAUUUAGCAAAAUUCUAUUAAGGCAUAGAAUUUUUUUUUUUUUUUUUCCCCCAACAAAUACCUAUUUUUACCAGACCUGGGCAUUGUUCUCCUCUAUUUUUAAUACUGUUACCUCACCUCCAGCUGUAAGUUAAAACUGGCUCUUCUCCCUCCCACACUGGAAGGAACAAUGAAUGAGACUGCACAGCUGGACUGGAACAAUUGCUCUGAACUCCCCAAAGCCCCACUCACACAAAUCACUGCAAGUGAAAUAACAGGAGGUGAGAAGUCCUCAAGUGAGCAAGCCUAAGACAAGCCACUAGUUCUGCAUUUGGCAGAAACAUAAUCAAGGACUGAAGGUUUGGCAGCAGCACCAAAGAAAACAGGGAGAGAGAAAAGGCCCGUAUCAAGCGCUGAUGGUUCCUCUGCCUGGGACUUGCAUGGGUUUCACACAGGGCUGGUGAUAACAUGAAGCACAUUAAUUUUA